rnacentral:rRNA from 1 species
GCACGAUUAGCUAGUUGGUAGGGUAACGGCCUACCAAGGCUUUGAUCGUUAGCUGGUCUGAGAGGAUGGCCGGCCACACUGGAACUGAGACACGGUCCAGACUCCUACGGGAGGCAGCAGUGGGGAAUCUUGCACAAUGGGCGAAAGCCUGAUGCAGCGACGCCGCGUGGGGGAUGAAGCAUCUCGGUGUGUAAACCCCUUUCGACCCGGAAGAAUGCCUCGCAAGAGGACUGACGGUACGGGUAUAAGAAGCCCCGGCUAACUACGUGCCAGCAGCCGCGGUAAGACGUAGGGGGCCAGCGUUGUUCGGAAUUACUGGGUGUAAAGGGUUCGUAGGCGGUGUGGCAAGUUGGGAGUGAAAUCUCUGGGCUCAACCCAGAGGCUGCUUCCAAAACUGCUGUGCUUGAGUGUGGGAGAGGCGCGUGGAAUUGCAGGUGUAGCGGUGAAAUGCGUAGAUAUCUGCAGGAACACCCGUGGCGAAAGCGGCGCGCUGGACCACUACUGACGCUGAGGAACGAAAGCUAGGGGAGCA